CCUACGGGCGGCAGCAGUGAGGAAUAUUGGUCAAUGGACGAGAGUCUGAACCAGCCAAGUAGCGUGAAGGAUGACUGCCCUAUGGGUUGUAAACUUCUUUUAUAAAGGAAUAAAACGAGGCACGUGUGCCUUUUUGCAUGUACUUUAUGAAUAAGGAUCGGCUAACUCCGUGCCAGCAGCCGCGGUAAUACGGAGGAUCCGAGCGUUAUCCGGAUUUAUUGGGUUUAAAGGGAGCGUAGAUGGGUUGUUAAGUCAGUUGUGAAAGUUUGCGGCUCAACCGUAAAAUUGCAAUUGAUACUGGCAGUCGUGAGUACAGUUGAGGUAGGCGGAAUCCGUGGUGUAGCGGUGAAAUGCUUAGAUAUCACGAAGAACCCCGAUUGCGAAGGCAGCUUACUAAACUGUGACUGACAUUGAUGCUCGAAAGUGUGGGUAUCAAACAGGAUUAGAUACCCGAGUAGUC
rnacentral:rRNA from 1 species